GAUGAACGCUGGCUACAGGCUUAACACAUGCAAGUCGAGGGGAAACGACGGGGAAGCUUGCUUCCCCGGGCGUCGACCGGCGCACGGGUGAGUAACGCGUAUCCAACCUGCCUCUGACUGAGGGAUAACCCGUCGAAAGUCGGCCUAAUACCUCAUGGUAUCGUCUGCGGGCAUCCAACGACGAUUAAAGAUUUCAUCGGUCAGGGAUGGGGAUGCGUCUGAUUAGCUUGUUGGCGGGGUAACGGCCCACCAAGGCUACGAUCAGUAGGGGUUCUGAGAGGAAGGUCCCCCACAUUGGAACUGAGACACGGUCCAAACUCCUGCGGGAGGCAGCGGUGAGGAAUAUUGGUCAAUGGGCGAGAGCCUGAACCAGCCAAGUAGCGUGCAGGAAGACGGCCCUAUGGGUUGUAAACUGCUUUUAUGCGGGGAUAAAGUGAGGGACGUGUCCCUCAUUGCAGGUACCGCA
rnacentral:rRNA from 1 species